UUUUAAAAAAAAUUGUACUGAAAGACCCCUUGGAGCAGGAAGACCCUCACUCAAGUCUUGGGAUGACCCGACCACCCAAGAACUCACUUAAGACC
rnacentral:pre_miRNA from 14 species